UGUAAGGCUCCAUGAGAACUUUAUGGCAUUGGGUUUGGAUUACAAAACUGAUAAUUCUGCCCCCAUUUUUAAAUGCACUAGGAUGACUUCACUCCGGAGGAACUUCAUACUUGGAGUGUGUUUUAAGAAACAUGGCCAGCAAAACCAUUAAAGUAUGGUUUGUUUAUUGUCCGAAAUGUCAGAAGCUUCUAACAGAGUUGAUCAAACAUCUGGUGAGCAAAGGGUAAGCUGAUGAAUGGUUAGGAAAUAGCAGGGAAAAGGCUUUCCAAGAAUUUUGGGUAAGGGAAUGAAGAAUUCAAAAAUGAGGUUUUAGUGAUUGCAAAACUUCAACACAUGAAUCUUGUUAGGAUUAUCAAAUUGGCAGUUAUCUGCCAAUUGUUUUAUUUGGUGUAGGCCACAUGAUGAGUGGACAAGCCUGAUUUUUAUGUUAAGCAUCUUCGUGGUGGGGGCCAAACCUUUUGGACGAGUGGGAUGUUGUACACACUUGACACUUUGGAAUUUAUGCUCUAGGUGGAUGGUAAAUUAUUUUCUAACUAGUCGUGUGUGAGUCUGCCUCCUUAAAUUAUUAUAUUUUAAAUGUUAAAUAUUACCGAAGCUUAGCAUUCAAGACUCAAACCUUUUUUCAUCGUAGAUUCUUUUCAUUAACUAAUAGUCGGGUACAAAAUGCAACUUCUAUAGUUUUCUUUUAUUUAUUUAUUUAUAUGCAUGUUGGUUUUAUGGAAGUUGAAAUCUUAAAAAUGUUGGUAUAGCUGUUGCAGGAAAAAACCUUGAAAAGUUAAUAAUGAUUUUGAGGCUUCAUUGUUGUGUAGUCUAUG